rnacentral:snRNA from 1 species
GUGCUCACUUCAGUAGCAUAUACACUAAAAUUGGAAUACAGAGAAUUAGCACAGCCUGUGUGCAAGGAUGUCAUGCAAAUUUGUGAAGUGUUCCAUAUUUUA